rnacentral:rRNA from 1 species
UGAGCAAUCUGCCCCUCNCAUCGGAAUAAGCGUUGGAAACGACGUCUAAUGCCGAAUACGACCUCCUUUCGCAUGAUCGGAGGUGGAAAGCUCCGGCGGAGAAGGAUGAGCUCGCGGCCUAUCAGCUAGUUGGUGUGGGUAAUGGCCCACCAAGGCGACGACGGGUAGCCGGCCUGAGAGGGUGACCGGCCACACUGGGACUGAGACAUGGCCCAGACUCCUAGGAGG